rnacentral:misc_RNA from 1 species
GAUGGAAGAACGUAGCGAAAUGCGAUAAGUAAUGUGAAUUGCAGAAUCCAGUGAAUCAUCGAAUCUUUGAACGCACAUUGCGCCCGCCAGCAUUCUGGCGGGCAUGCCUGUUCGAGCGUCAUUUCAACCCUCGACCUCCCUUUGGGGAAGUCGGCGUUGGGGACCGGCAGCACACCGCCGGCCCUGAAAUGGAGUGGCGGCCCGUCCGCGGCGACCUCUGCGUAGUAAUCCAACUCGCACCGGAACCCCGACGCGGCCACGCCGUAAAACACCCAACUUCUGAACGUUGACCUCGAAUCAGGUAGGACUACCCGCUGAACUUAAGCAUAUCAAUAAGCGGAGGA